UACAUGGGGUGCAAACGUUUGCUCGGAAUUAUUGGGCGUAAAGCGCACGUAGGCGGUUCGUUAAGUCGGAUGUGAAAGCCCUCGGCUCAACUGAGGAAGUGCACCCGAAACUGGCGAGCUUGAGUACGAAAGAGGAUCGCGGAAUUCCCGGUGUAGAGGUGAAAUUCGUAGAUAUCGGGGAGGAACACCGGUGGCGAAGGCGGCGAAC
rnacentral:rRNA from 1 species